rnacentral:rRNA from 1 species
AUGAAGAGUUUGAUCCUGGCUCAGGAUGAACGCUAGCUACAGGCUUAACACAUGCAAGUCGAGGGGCAUCAGGGUGUAGCAAUACACCGCUGGCGACCGGCGCACGGGUGAGUAACACGUAUCCAACCUGCCCUUUACUCGGGGAUAGCCUUUCGAAAGAAAGAUUAAUACCCGAUGGUAUAACAUGACCUCCUGGUUUUGUUAUUAAAGAAUUUCGGUAGAGGAUGGGGAUGCGUUCCAUUAGGCAGUUGGCGGGGUAACGGCCCACCAAACCUUCGAUGGAUAGGGGUUCUGAGAGGAAGGUCCCCCACAUUGGAACUGAGACACGGUCCAAACUCCUACGGGAGGCAGCAGUGAGGAAUAUUGGUCAAUGGGCGAGAGCCUGAACCAGCCAAGUAGCGUGAAGGAUGACCGCCCUAUGGGUUGUAAACUUCUUUUAUAUGGGAAUAAAGGGUGCCACGUGUGGCAUUUUGUAUGUACCAUAUGAAUAAGGAUCGGCUAACUCCGUGCCAGCAGCCGCGGUAAUACGGAGGAUCCGAGCGUUAUCCGGAUUUAUUGGGUUUAAAGGGAGCGUAGGUGGACAUGUAAGUCAGUUGUGAAAGUUUGCGGCUCAACCGUAAAAUUGCAGUUGAUACUGCGUGUCUUGAGUACAGUAGAGGUGGGCGGAAUUCGUGGUGUAGCGGUGAAAUGCUUAGAUAUCACGAAGAACUCCGAUUGCGAAGGCAGCUCACUGGACUGCAACUGACACUGAUGCUCGAAAGUGUGGGUAUCAAACAGGAUUAGAUACCCUGGUAGUCCACACAGUAAACGAUGAAUACUCGCUGUUUGCGAUAUACAGUAAGCGGCCAAGCGAAAGCAUUAAGUAUUCCACCUGGGGAGUACGCCGGCAACGGUGAAACUCAAAGGAAUUGACGGGGGCCCGCACAAGCGGAGGAACAUGUGGUUUAAUUCGAUGAUACGCGAGGAACCUUACCCGGGCUUAAAUUGCAAAUGAAUAUGCCGGAAACGGCAUAGCCGCAAGGCAUUUGUGAAGGUGCUGCAUGGUUGUCGUCAGCUCGUGCCGUGAGGUGUCGGCUUAAGUGCCAUAACGAGCGCAACCCUUAUCUUCAGUUACUAACAGGUUAUGCUGAGGACUCUGGAGAGACUGCCGUCGUAAGAUGUGAGGAAGGUGGGGAUGACGUCAAAUCAGCACGGCCCUUACGUCCGGGGCUACACACGUGUUACAAUGGGGGGUACAGAAGGCCGCUACACAGCGAUGUGAUGCCAAUCCCUAAAGCCCCUCUCAGUUCGGAUCGAAGUCUGCAACCCGACUUCGUGAAGCUGGAUUCGCUAGUAAUCGCGCAUCAGCCACGGCGCGGUGAAUACGUUCCCGGGCCUUGUACACACCGCCCGUCAAGCCAUGGGAGCCGGGGGUACCUGAAGUACGUAACCGCAAGGAGCGUCCUAGGGUAAAACUGGUGACUGGGGCUAAGUCGUAACAAGGUAGCCGUACCGGAAGGUGCGGCUGGAACACCUCCUU